AUUGAACGCUGGCGGCAGGCCUAACACAUGCAAGUCGAGCGAGCGGCGGACGGGUGAGUAAUGUAUGGGGAUCUGCCCGAUGGAGGGGGAUAACUACUGGAAACGGUUGCUAAUACCGCAUACUAUCGGAUGAACCCAGAUGGGAUUAGCUAGUAGGUGGGGUAAAGGCUCACCUAGGCGACGAUCUCUAGCUGGUCUGAGAGGAUGAACAGCCACACUGGAACUGAGACACGGGCCAGACUCCUACGGGAGGCAGCAGUGGGGAAUAUUGCACAAUGUGCGAAAGCCUGAUGCAGCCAUGCGGCGUGUAUGAAGAAGGCCUUAGGGUUGUAAAGGACGUUCAGCGGGGAGGCGUUACCCGCAGAAGAAGCACCGGCUAACUCCGUGCCAGCAGCCGCGGUAAUAC
rnacentral:rRNA from 1 species